GGAAGUAGAGGAGAGAAUGAAGCAAUAUUCUCCUGUGAUGCUUGAGGAUCUUGCAGUGCCUUUUCAAGUAAACAUUGAAGAGGAGGGGCCAUUGCCUGUUAAUGAUCACUUGAGUUAUCAACCACUUGAUGUGUAUCCUGCACAGCUUCAUCGGUGUUGAGUAUUCACUAGCAAUUCAGGUGUUGUGCGUCAGGAAAUGGAGUACUUCACAGACCUUUUUAUUGAGCAUCAGAGGGUUUCCAAACACAAAUUUCUUUAGGGGAACAUUGCCAGUUAAUGAUUGCUUGAAUUAUCAACCACUAGAUGUAUACCCUGCACAACUUGCUGUAAAUCACUGUGGAUAAGGUUUUCCAAGCUAACUACUUGGGUUUUUGAGAAGAUCAAUAGUUAAGGAAACAUCCCGCCCAUGAGUUCCCUUUGAAUCUUGCAAGGUAGCUGUUCAUCUCAUUGUUGCUAUUUUCUUUUGGCUAAUGUUUUUGGAGGUCAGGCUGUAACGGGAACUCGGGCAAAUAACUCUUGUUUCAAAUGCUGUUAUUUGUUGUGGUUUUA